rnacentral:rRNA from 1 species
CACUCCUACGGGAGGCAGCAGUGGGGAAUAUUGGACAAUGGGCGCAAGCCUGAUCCAGCCAUGCCGCGUGAGUGAUGAAGGCCCUAGGGUUGUAAAGCUCUUUCACCGGAGAAGAUAAUGACGGUAUCCGGAGAAGAAGCCCCGGCUAACUUCGUGCCAGCAGCCGCGGUAAUACGAAGGGGGCUAGCGUUGUUCGGAAUUACUGGGCGUAAAGCGCACGUAGGCGGAUCGAUCAGUCAGGGGUGAAAUCCCAGGGCUCAACCCUGGAACUGCCUUUGAUACUGUCGAUCUGGAGUAUGGAAGAGGUGAGUGGAAUUCCGAGUGUAGAGGUGAAAUUCGUAGAUAUUCGGAGGAACACCAGUGGCGAAGGCGGCUCACUGGUCCAUUACUGACGCUGAGGUGCGAAAGCGUGGGGAGCAAACAGGAUUAGAUACCCUUGUAGUCCCAU